UUUAAAUAACAAUAAUAAUAAUAAUAAUAAUAAUAAUAGUAAUAAUACUAAUAAUAGCUUAUGUUAUAAUAUUAACGAAAAUGACAACAAUGGAUUCAUUUAUAAUAAGACGCAAGAAUACGAUUCUACAUACAUAAACAGUACGCAUAUGUUACAUGAUGGACAACCUGUUAAUACUAGCAUAAAUAAUUAUAUGUUAUAUAAUUUUGAUUAUAAUAUAAAUAAUAAUUUUGAAACAGAUAUGACAUACGACGAUAAAAAAAGUAUAAUUGAAUUUAUGCCUAUGGCUAAAAAUGAAGUAUUAUUAAACACAAUACAUCACUUAAAUUUAAGAAAUGACCAGAUGGUUUAUUAUAAUGAUGAAGAUGAACAUAUAAAUAUAAAUAAUAGUUUUUUUAUGAAUAAGGCACAAUUAUUCUUACAGAGUGAAAACACAAGAGAUUAUUAUAAUAAUAAUGAUGCUCUAAAUGGUAUCGUUAGUGGCUUUUCCAACGGUACUAAUGUUACUAAUAAUAACAAUGGUAAUGGAAAUGGUGAUGGUAGUGGAAAUGGUGAUGGUAGUGGAAAUGGUGAUGGUAGUGGAAAUGGUGAUGGUAGUGGAAAUGGUGAUGGUAGUGGAAAUGGUGAUGGUAGUGGAAAUGCUAAUGAUAAUAGCAACGACGAUAACACUAGUAAUAAUAACAAAAUUAACCAUAUGCAAUAUGCCUAUGGUAUGAACAUUUCAAAUAACAAAAAUAAUGAAAAAAAUGCUGAGAGUAAUAAUAUGUUAAUUACAAAUGUAGCACCAUCUAGUGUAGCACUUAAUACCAGUUGUAACAUUUGUGAUGAUAACACAAACAACAAUAACCAAAACAAUAAUAACCAAAACAAUAAUAACCAAAACAACAAUAACCAAAACAACAAUAACCAAAACAACAAUUUGCAAGAAAAAAAUGACAUAAAAACAGAAUUAUACAAUAUGCCAAACACAUUAUUGAUUAAUAAGGAAAACAAAGAUAUGUGUUAUGAUACUUUCACAACUGAUACUGUUCAACCCGAAUUAGAAAAUAACCCAAAUGGUGUAAAUUGUGUAAUAGAUUCGAAUUGUGACAAUAUUAUAAUUCCUACAAAAAAUUUAAUUAGUAGCAAACAUGAUAAACCAAAUGAAUAUAAUAAUGAAAGUAAUAAUCAGAACAAUAUGAAUAAUCAGAACAAUAUGAAUAACCAGAAUAACCAGAAUAACCAGAAUAACCAGAAUAACCAGANNNNNNNNNNCCAGAAUAACCAGAAUAACCAGAAUAACCAGAAUAACCAGAAUAACCUGAAUAACCUGAAUAACCAGAGUAACCAGAAUAACCUGAAUAACCUGAAUAACCUGAAUAACCUGAAUAACCUGAAUAACCAGAACAAUCAGAACAACCAGAAUAACCAGAAUAACCUGAAUAACCAGAGUAACCAGAAUAACCAGAGUAACCAGAAUAACCAGAAUAACCUGAAUAACCAGAACAACCAGAACAACCAGAAU
rnacentral:lncRNA from 1 species